rnacentral:rRNA from 1 species
UGGGGAAUAUUGCACAAUGGGCGAAAGCCUGAUGCAGCAACGCCGCGUGCGGGAUGACGGCCUUCGGGUUGUAAAACCGCUUUCAAGCAGGGACGAAGGUUUUCUGACGGUACCUGCAGAAGAAGCACCGGCUAACUACGUGCCAGCAGCCGCGGUGAUACGUAGGGUGCGAGCGUUGUCCGGAAUUAUUGGGCGUAAAGAGCUUGUAGGCGGUCCGUUGCGUCGGAAAGUGAAAACUCAGGGGCUUAAUCCCUGAGCCUGCUUUCGAUACGGGCGGACUUGAGGGAUGUAGGGAGAAACGGAAUUCCUGGUGGAGCGGUGGAAUGCGCAGAUAUCAGGAGGAACACCAGUGGCGAAGGCGGUUCUCUGGACAUUUCCUGACGCUGAGAAGCGAAAGCGUGGGGNGCAAACAGGCUUAGAUACCCUGGUAGUCCACGCCGUAAACGGUGGGCACUAGGUGUGGGACCCA